rnacentral:rRNA from 1 species
CAGCCGUAAACUAUGCGCGUUAGGUGUACUGGUGACCACGAGUCACCGGGGUGCCGAAGGGAAACCGUGAAACGUGCCGCCUGGGAAGUACGGUCGCAAGGCUGAAACUUAAAGGAAUUGGCGGGGGGAGCACCACAACGGGUGGAGCCUGCGGUUUAAUUGGACUCAACGCCGGAAAUCUCACCGGAUAGGACAGACAUAUGAUAGUCGGGCUGAAGACUCUACUUGAUGAUCUGAGAGGAGGUGCAUGGCGUAGUCGUGU